UUAUGUGGCUUUUGUGAUUUCACCUGAAAUUGUUCAGGUUUAAUGGACGGUGGAGUCUGAUGUUUGCAUGUUUGGAGAAUGUCGCUGAAUAUUGAUGUGGAGAUAUGGGAUGGAGAUCAACCAUGAAUGGGCCUGCUAAAAGGAGAACCUUUGUGGAUGAAGUGCUUCUCAAGACAUUUGGUUUGGAGCUGGAGGAUGUCGACUGUGUUCAAGAUUUUCCAGGUUGUUUUGCACAGACUGUUAAACCAGAGGACGAGAGGGCCCCUUUCUUCAAAGCAUUUCAUUGAUCCAAUCACAUUAUUUUCCAUUUGUACAAA